UCAGGAUGAACGCUAGCGGCAGGCCUAAUACAUGCAAGUCGAACGGUAAGCGUCCCUCGGGUCGCGAGAGUGGCGCACGGGUGCGUAACGCGUAUGCAACCAGCCCCCGUCCGGCGCACAGCCGGUGGAAACGCCGGGUAAUGCGCCAUGCGCCCGAGUGGGGGCAUCCCCGGUCGGGCAAAGCCUACGGGCGGAGGGGGACGGGCAUGCGUGCCAUUAGAUGGUCGGCGGGGUGACGGCCCACCGAGUCCGCGAUGGCUAGGGGAUCUGAGAGGACGGUCCCCCACACUAGUACUGAGACACGGACCAGACUCCUGCGGGAGGCAGCAGUAAGGGAUAUUGGGCAAUGGGGGCAACCCUGACCCAGCCAUGCCGCCGUGAGGGAAGUAGGCCCUACGGGUCGUGAACCUCUUUUGCGCGGGGACAAGGGCGGCCACGCGAUAGCCGCUUGAGGGUACCGCGCGAAUAAGCGCCGGCUAACUCCGUGCCAGCCGCCGC
rnacentral:rRNA from 1 species